UGAAGCUGCCAGCAUGAUCUGAGCUUUUUCCGUGUUGAUUUGCCAUAUCAGGAGAGCAUAGAUCAUGUGGCAGUUUCAUC
rnacentral:pre_miRNA from 1 species